GCCCAAAACUCAAAUAGCCAGCUUAGGCUAUUUGAGACCUUGUUAGGAAAAUAAACAAACCUGUCAGAAUUACAACAGUAAUAUCUGAGUCAGACCUCACAGAUCUUCUAUCUGUCCAGUUUGUCUACACGCUACUAACAUUCACAAAGCAAAACGAAAAAACAAAAACACAGCUGAAGGUUAGGAAUUUGAUAUAAAGACAAAUACUAGACUGGGAGAUGUGUCCUGUUCAGCAUGCAUCAAGCCCAAGGUUCAAACUCCAACACCCAAAAGGGGUUAAAUACAACACUGGCUACCCUUCGGUUGCUGCAAGCCUCCCAAAAGAACGGUGCUUAUUAGAAUAUGAGAUGCAUUCUAUGAACGAAAUAGGUGUAAGAUGCUUCGGUACACGCUGUUGAGUUGAAACUCAAUGGAAAGCGUCGAAACUUUAGACUUAUUUACAACCAAGUGACUUCCUUUUGAAAUCAAACGGAUUUUUCUUAGAAUGGCUGGUGAGAGGUGGGCAGAGUUCUAGGGUUUGACCUGAGUUCAGUGUUACUGGGUCAGAAUCCUUAAAAAAAAAAAACAACAACAACAACAAAAAAAAAACCCUACACUGAACAGAUCGAAAUGAUUGCUGAAAGAAAGACACAGCUAGAAGUAGGUCAAAGCUGAGAACGGGAAUAUUUGAAACUUGAUAUUUUGGAAACACAUAACCCUAUUGAUAGGUUUCUGAGCAAAAUCAUGAAACAGUUGUUUUCCGAUCUCUGCCUUCCUCCUUCCAAGCUGGAUUUACACGAGAAGAUCUCUUUGUUUACUCGGUCACACAUGACUGUCCCACUUGCAAAGAGAUGGAGAUGUCUGCGGUCCACGCAGUGCUAGGACGAACAUGUGUCUUCCAGUUCUCCUCCUUUCAAUGUAUGUUAUCAAAAUAGGGGAAAAAAAUCAUGUGUUUUAGAAAAGCAAAAGAUAAACUUUAAAUGUAUUAAAGAUAUUUAUGAGAUCCUUGCUAAUGGUGUCUAUGGAGAUUUUGUUAUGUUCUCUCACUUCUCAGUGUUAGAAUACGGGUAAAUUUUAAUUUUGAUAUAAUAGAGAAGCUAAUCUUAUAUCAGGAGUGGGAUUCUUUUGAUAUUUAGACAGUUGAAUACUUUAUAAAAUUAACAAUUUUGUAAUGUAUAUGAAACAAUAACACUGUACUCAUUAAGAAAUGUAUUUGAAUUUGUUACUAUUAAAAAAUUGUUUCCC
rnacentral:lncRNA from 1 species